rnacentral:rRNA from 1 species
GAUGAACGCUGGCGGCGUGCCUAAUACAUGCAAGUCGAGCGAACAGACUAGAGUGCUUUCACUCUCUGACGUUAGCGGCGGACGGGUGAGUCACACGUAGCUAACCUAACUAUAAGGCUUGGAUAACUUCGGGAACCCCGAGCUCUUACCGGAUAAUAUUUAGCUUUGCAUGUAGCAAUAGUGAAAGACCGUUCUGCUGUCACUUAUAGAUGUACCCGCUGUGUAUUAGCUAGUUGGUGAGGUAACGGCUCACCAAGUCACCGAUCCAUAGCCGACCUGAGAGGGUGAUAGGCGACACGGGGACUGAGACACGGCCAAGACGACUAAGGGAGGCAGCAGUAGGGAAGCGGCGGCAAUGGACGAAAGUAUGACGGAGCAAGGGCGCGUGAGUGAAGAAGGUGUUCGGAUAGGAAAACUCUGUUGUGAGGGAAGAACAAGUACGUUAGGAAAAGAACGGACAGUGACGGUACCUGAAGAGGAAGCCACGGCUAACUACGUG